AAAGCCUUGUGGGAAGAUGGACCUCAAUGACAGGUAAGUCAAUGUUGUCAAAAGAAACUUCUCAUUAUGAUCUCACUUCUCUUGUCACGUAUCAAUCUAUUUGGUGAUGAGUGUGACGUGUCCAUUCCUUUCGAGUGACUUCAAUCAUUUACAUGCUGAAGCCAGCUCAAGAAAUUUAGCAUAGCCUCAAGUUAAUCAUAGAUUUCAGGCCUUUAACUCCACUUCUGACUGUUGAAAUCCUUCAACAACACUAGAAGAAGAAACAAUAAUAAUGAUAAUCCUACUUCUAGGAAGCCACUUUUGUGCAAUCAAACAUGUCCUAAAAUUAACAACAUAGAUAAAAUUGUUUAGGUGUGUUAAUAGGGGAUCUAUCUAAAUACAAAAACUGAUAGCUGUACUAUACAAAAACUGAUUAUAUAUAUAUAUAUAUAUAUAUAUAUAUAUAUAUAUAUAUAUAUAUAUAUAUAUAUAUAUAUAUAUAUAUAUAUAUAUAUAUAUAUAUAUCCAAUGGAUUUAAAUGACAUAGGAGCCCUUAGAAUAGUGUAUUAAUCUUUAGCAUUGGUUCUAGAAUGAAAAGGUCCUUGUAUGUUUUUCCUCUUAAAUUGAUCUAAUACAAUAACCAACAUUGCUUACCUCUACAUUUAAAUAGUUGAAGCCUGAUUUUUAAAAGAAGAGGGCUUUCUUUAUUAGAUUGUGUGGCCAAACAUCAAUAUUUAGAUCCUUAUAAUAUUUUAGUUUCAAUCCAUUAUUGUUGAAAAUAUUUGUGUGUGAAACAAAGAAGGAUGAAUUGUAAAUAUAAUCUUACAUAUGUUAUAUUUGACUUAUAACCUUAUAAGCUUAAUCUUUUGAUUGUGUUGGUAUCUGAUAUAUGUUAAUCUUUUUUAAAUUGAUUUAUCAUUAUUAUAUUUGGUUGAAUUGACUCAGAUUUAUCAUUAUUAGAUUUCUGACAGUUAUGAUAGCAUGCUGGCUCUGAUUUUUAAUCUAAUAUUUAUAUAAAUAAUUUUUUAAAUAUAAACGGUAAGUAACGAUGAUGAAAUUUAAUUUUAAAAUUUUUUUUAUCGAUUGAGUUGGAUGACACAUGAUCAAAACUUACUCACCCUUAUCCACGUUUUUUUUUAAUGUGUCAUCCAACUCAAUCGAUAAAAAAAAUCUUAAAAUUAAAUUUCAUCAUCGAUUCAAAAGAUUUUUAUUAGAUAAACUAAGAUAAAUUAAAGGAUGGAAAAGGAAGAGGAGGAGAUGAUGAGGUGGCAUCAACAGCAUCUAACUUACCCAGAACAUUCGAGCCCAUCACAUCAGCCAUAGGCAGGCAGCAACUGCAUCCCAUGUCUCAUGGGUUGGUGGCCAGUUGCUCUUGGAGGGAAAAAGCUGUGCGAUGGCAAAGCUUGUGCUGUGAGAGGCAGCCCACCCAUCAACCUAUGUCAGCUGUUUUUGGGCUGAUGCUUUUCAGCCACACCCCCGCAACAGCCCGAGAGUAAUGUGGGUGGGGAAGAUGCCUCUUCUCCUUUGGGGGACAGCGGCCUCCCACCACCAUUAAGGAUCGCCACCCACGCCCCUCUCACCCUUCGCUGUAAAAGCGACGGGUUGGCGUUGACGAGGUGAUGUACAUACGAGAGGGACGUCAGUGGGUUCAUCCCAUCACUGCUGGAGGGUCAAUGGGGCUGCAUCACCCAUCCACAUCCAUCUGCUACUGCGGAUCCCACCCCCCCCACACCCCCCAAUUCUGUAUCGACAUCAGUUGACUGAUUGAUAACACUAGGUUUCUUAUAAAUAGCCAUUCGUGUUGAUUCGAAUCGAAAUUGAAUUGGAUCAACAGGUUGACAAUUCUAUGAUGUAGUGAUUAGUAAUUUAAAUUUAUUAAUUUUGAUUUAAAUUUUGAUAUAAUAAUUAAUUUUUUUAAUCAAUUGUAACCGAUGAUUUAAACAGUCAUUUAGUGACUUGGGUUCGCCUAAAACUGAUCCGAUUCUGAUUUCAAAUUUAACCAAAUUGAAACUGAUGAAUUCAAAAUCGAAACAGACGAUUCUAUGUCGAAACUGCUAAUCGUGAUGUCGAAGUUGGCCUUAUCCAACUGUCCAGGAAACAGAUGGGGAUAGUAGAAACCAAUAAUCAAAUGGAGCAAAAAGCUGGGCGGCAGCACGAUCAUGUGUGUGCGAUCUGCCUGUUACAGGUUGGUGCGAAGUUGACAUGCUUAAUUGCAUCAAGCAAGUACCGCAGGCAGGCAACAGCGAUGGCCCAACUGCCCUCCACAAGAAUAUGAUUGCGGCC
rnacentral:lncRNA from 1 species